GUGCCAGCAGCCGCGGUAAUACUAGCGGUCCAAGUCGCAACCACAUUUAUUGGGUCUAAAACAUCCGUAGCUUGCUUGAUAAGUUUCUUGUGAAAUUCUAUGUCUCGAACAUAGAGCGUGCAAGAAAUACUAUCUAGCUAGAGAUCGGGAGACGUAAGGAGUACGUUUAAAGUAGUAGUAAAAUGCUUUAAUCUUAAGCGGACUAACAAUAGCGAAGGCACCUUACGAGAACGGUUCUGACAGUCAGGGAUGAAGGCUAGGGGCGCAAAAACGGAUUAGAUACCCGUGUAGUCCUAGCAGUAAACACUGUACACUAAACAUUGGGACCUCUUCGAGAGGUUUCAGUGCUGCAGGGAAGCCGAAGAGUGUACUACCUGGGAAGUAUAGCCGCAAGGCCGAAACUCAAAGGAAUUGACGG
rnacentral:rRNA from 1 species